rnacentral:rRNA from 1 species
UACGAAGGGGGCUAGCGUUGCUCGGAAUCACUGGGCGUAAAGCGCACGUAGGCGGCUUUCUAAGUCAGGGGUGAAAUCCUGGAGCUCAACUCCAGAACUGCCUUUGAUACUGGAGAGCUCGAGUCCGGAAGAGGUGAGUGGAACUCCGAGUGUAGAGGUGAAAUUCGUAGAUAUUCGGAAGAACACCAGUGGCGAAGGCGGCUCACUGGUCCGGUACUGACGCUGAGGUGCGAAAGCGUGGG